GACGAACGCUGGCGGCGUGCUUAACACAUGCAAGUCGAACGGUGAAGCGCCUUCCUUUUUGGUGGGUGUGGAUGAGCGGCGAACGGGUGAGUAACACGUGAGUAACCUGCCCCCUACUUCUGGAUAACCGCAUGAAAGUGUGGCUAAUACGGGAUAUUCUGGGUCUGUCGCAUGAUGGGUCUGGGAAAGAUAUUGUUUCGGUGGGGGAUGGGCUCGCGGCCUAUCAGCUUGUUGGUGGGGUGAUGGCCUACCAAGGCGGUGACGGGUAGCCGGCCUGAGAGGAGGCGGCGACACCACGGCAGAGAAACACGGCCCAGGUUCAUGCGGGAGGUGACAUGCUGGAUUAUCAACCGAUGGGCGCUACUCUGAGGCAGCGGCGUCGCGUGGGGGACGGCGGCCUUCGGGUUGUAAAGCACUUUCGCGAGUGAAGCCGGCCUGCCUUGUUUCUAGGUGAGUUGACGGUAGCUGAUUAAGCAGCGCCGGCUAACUACGUG
rnacentral:rRNA from 1 species